rnacentral:rRNA from 1 species
UACGAAGGGGGCGAGCGUUGUUCGGAAUUACUGGGCGUAAAGGGCUUGUAGGUGGCCAACUAAGUCAAACGUGAAAUCCCUCGGCUUAACCGGGGAACUGCGUCUGAUACUGGAUGGCUUGAGUUUGGGAGAGGGAUGCGGAAUUCCAGGUGUAGCGGUGAAAUGCGUAGAUAUCUGGAGGAACACCGGUGGCGAAGGCGGCAUCCUGGGCCAACACUGACGCUGAGUGAGCGAAAGCCAGGGGAGCAAACGGG